GACCGCCGGCAGGGAAGGAGGUGUGUCACCAGCUCCUGGGAGAGGACUGCCUGCACUCCAAGGCAGAGGCCAGCCAGUCAGAGAUGGACCUUGCCAUACAGGCAGGGGAUGCCGCGGCGAGGGGAGAGACCAGAGAAUCCCAGAGCUGGAGGACUCCAGAGACUCGGAUUGUAAGUUCCUUGGAGCAGUGACCAGCCUUUUGUUCCGUGUUUGGGUCCAUGACCAGGGAUCCGAGCCGCCAUGAGAAUAGAAAGAAAGGACGCCACCCCCUGGGAGCAGCUUGGUGAAUACCCCAGCUGUCAGCACUUGGACCUGCCCCUCCCAAGACGGUCUCUCCCAAAGUUUCUGGACAGCACGCGGCACCAGGCGGUCCCCAGGCAGGGGGUCAUUCAAACCCGUGCCCCUGGUAACAGCUGGGGCCUUGCACAGCAGUGGAGAUCGAUUCAGGCGGCACGUGCAUUAAGAAUCAGGUCCCGCGCAGCAGAGAGUCUCGUACCCAACAAACCAGCUACUAACAACUUCAACGGUGAGAAUAAAGUAGCACUCAGUGAAAGUGUGACAAACUGCAUGGAAUUCAAACACAAAAGAAGGCUGUGUACCUCGCCUCACACCCCUGCCUCAUACACCACCCCCCCAUUCACAAACCCCACACAUCCAC